AUAGGACACUUUAAAAAAUUUUGAAAGAUAUUGCAAUUUCAAGUAGAUAUUAGCAUUCUACAUACCUUGAAGAGUAUGUAUGCCAAAUUUCGUUAGAAAAAGACGAUUAUAAACAAAAUGU
rnacentral:lncRNA from 1 species